UGCAUUGGUGCGGAAUGCCAUCCAUGGGU
rnacentral:sRNA from 1 species